rnacentral:rRNA from 1 species
UACAUAGGUCUCAAGCGUUGUUCGGAUUCAUUGGGCGUAAAGGGUGCGUAGGCGGCGCGGUAAGUCGGGUGUGAAAUCUCGGAGCUUAACUCCGAAACUGCAUUCGAUACUGCCGUGCUUGAGGACUGGAGAGGAGACUGGAAUUUACGGUGUAGCGGUGAAAUGCGUAGAUAUCGUAAGGAAGACCAGUGGCGAAGGCGGGUCUCUGGACAGUUCCUGACGCUGAAGCACGAAGGCCAGGGGAGCAAACGGG